UACGUAGGCAGCAAGCGUUGUUCGGAAUUACUGGGCGUAAAGAGUGUGUAGGCGGUGCUCUAAGUCUGGUGUGAAAUCUCCCGGCUUAACUGGGAGGGUGCGCUAGAAACUGGAGUGCUAGAGGAUGGGAGAGGUAAGCGGAAUUCCUGGUGUAGCGGUGAAAUGCGUAGAGAUCGGGAGGAACACCUGUGGCGAAGGCGGCCGACUGGGCCGACCCUGACGCUGAGGCGCGAAGGCGUGGGGAGCAAACAGG
rnacentral:rRNA from 1 species